GUGGGGAAUAUUGGACAAUGGGCGAAAGCCUGAUCCAGCCAUGCCGCGUGUGUGAAGAAGGUCUUCGGAUUGUAAAGCACUUUAAGUUGGGAGGAAGGGCAGUAAGUUAAUACCUUGCUGUUUUGACGUUACCGACAGAAUAAGCACCGGCUAACUUCGUGCCAGCAGCCGCGGUAAUACGAAGGGUGCAAGCGUUAAUCGGAAUUACUGGGCGUAAAGCGCGCGUAGGUGGUUUUGUACGUUGGAGGUUAAAUCCCCGGGCUCAACCUGGGAACUGCCUCCAAAACUGCAUGACUAGAGUACGGUAGAGGGUAGUGGAAUUUCCUGUGUAGCGGUGAAAUGCGUAGAUAUAGGAAGGAACACCAGUGGCGAAGGCGACUACCUGGACUGAUACUGACACUGAGGUGCGAAAGCGUGGGGAGCAAACAGGAUUAGAAACCCCUGUAGUCC
rnacentral:rRNA from 1 species